UAGUGCUUAUGGGGAGCACACUGUAUUGAUGAUGCUUCUGUUGUGUGAGGGUGAGUCAUUUCUGCUAUCACAUCAGAUUUCCACUUCCCUGCAGCUUUCACAUUAGUGUCUCAGGACAAAACAGUAUUUAUUCUCUGAGCUCUUUCCCUCCUUUCAUGAUACCUUGGGGGUGUUGAGGGUUAGGAGUGAUAGACAUGGGUUAGUAUUCCCUCCUACCAUUUGACUUUGUUUGAAUGUGGCGGAGUCAGCCUAAAAGCUUGUUUACCACGAGACAUUUUCCAUUUAUCUAAAUGUGGUAGAUGCCCAGGACACAGAGUUCUCCAUUAGCGACACAAAGUGCCAAUUGCCCAACACUGUUGAAAGUCUCACUAUGGCUUCGAGCCUUGAUUUAAAGCAAAAAUGAAAUGAAGAAAGUUAACAACAGUUGAUGUUUGGGAUUUUCCAAUGUCUCCGAGGGGUUUGUGGGAAACUCUUGAGAACCAUUUAGGAGGGCUGGUGUUGUUUGAGUAGCCUCAGGUGAGAAGCUGGACAAUCUGUACCUGGGGGUGUCAAACAAGUUUUCUUUUUCUCCUUUUGGGUGAGAGGAAUUCAGCCACCUGUCCCAGGCAUUUCAUCUUGGUUAAUCCUUACAGUAAAUAUGUGUUAGGCAUCGUCACGUUUUACAGAAGAGGAAGCCAAGGCUGAGAUCAGUUCGGCUUCCUCAAGAUCUCCCAGGCAGUAGAUGUACCUACAAUUGUACCCAGGAAUUUCAGGGUUAAAGGACUUGGCUCUUCACUGCUUUGGGCUUUUGCUAUGUGUAAAGGGCUGCGUGCUUGUGGCAAGACUGGAUGGAGAGGAUGCACAGCCUUCAUACAGUGAGCUAUUAUUACUGUUGAGAUGGUAAACAUAGGUUCAGGAGCUUGGAACUGUUAUUAACCCUUUCUGCUAUUUUAGGCUUCCUUUUUAUUAUAUAUAUAACUAUAUAUAUAUUUAUAAUUCAUAAUAUAUAUAAUUACUUUUGUAUUUUCAGGAUUGUUAGUAUUUUGUCAAAGUCAUUUUUCUCGAUUUACAAAAUGCCCACAUGUUAUUUUUUCAAAUCUUUACCCCGAGGGAAGAAAAUCUAUAAUCUGCUCUCUCCUGUAUGUCAUUAAUUUUUGUUUUGAAAAGAAAAAGAACUUGACCAGGAUCUCUUUGCAGAUAUUGUAGACUCUAGAAUUGAGUAAUUAUAAUUUUAUGUAAGAGCGUCGGGAUUUUGGCAUUCUGUUACUUUCUUACUUUACAAGGUUAAUAAAACAUCGACACACACACAGAUGAUAGUUUAUUGCUUCAGUGAGGGUGUCAGAUGGAGUUGAGAGUGAUGAAGGAUGCCUGUAAUUUCAGCACUUGGGACACAGGCAGGAGGAUGGGGGUUCCAGGCUCUUUGUGGUUACAGAUAAAAUUCUAGAUUAGCCUAGGUGAGGUGAGGCUCUGCCUCUGACAGAAAAAGAUAUUCUGAAUGGUCAACAAUCAUAGGCUUAGUUUGCUCCUAUACAUGCCAGUUAUUUUGAGUGUUAGCAUAUCACUAAAAUACU
rnacentral:lncRNA from 1 species